rnacentral:rRNA from 1 species
UUGGAGGGCAAGUCUGGUGCCAGCAGCCGCGGUAAUUCCAGCUCCAAUAGCGUAUAUUAAAGUUGUUGCAGUUAAAAAGCUCGUAGUUGAACUUCGGGGUCUACCCAUUGGUCAGGCUUAAUUGUCUGUACUGGUGAGAUGGAUCUCUACCUUCUGAGGAACUUUCAUGCCAUUUAUUUGGUGUGAUGGGAAAUCAGGACUGUUACUUUGAAAAAAUUAGAGUGUUUAAAGCAGACUAUCGUCUGAAUACAUAGCGUGGAAUAAUGAAAUAGGACGGACUGAUUCUAUUUCGUUGGUUUCUAGGAUCACCGUAAUGAUUAAUAGGGAUAGUUGGGGGCAUUAGUAUUCAAUUGUCAGAGGUGAAAUUCUUGGAUUUAUUGAAGACUAACUACUGCGAAAGCAUUUGCCAAGGAUGUUUUCAUUAAUCAAGAACGAAAGUUAGGGGAUCGAAGACGAUCAGAUACCGUCGUAGUCUUAACCAUAAACUAUGCCGACUAGGGAUCGGACGAAGUUAAUUUUAUAAUGACGCGUUCGGCACCUUACGGGAAACCAAAGUGUUUGGGUUC